CGAACGUACAAACGUUAUUCGGAAUUACUGGGCUUAAAGGGUGCGUAGGCGGCGGUGCAAGUUGGGUGUGAAAUCCCUCGGCUCAACCGAGGAACUGCGCUCAAAACUGCAUUGCUUGAGGGAGAUAGAGGUGAGUGGAACUUAGGGUGGAGCGGUGAAAUGCGUUGAUAUCCUAAGGAACACCAGUGGCGAAAGCGACUCACUGGGUCUCUUCUGACGCUGAGGCACGAAAGCUAGGGUAGCGAACGGGAUUAGAUACCCCGGUAGUCCUAGCCGUAAACGAUGAGCACUGGAUUGAAGGGUCCCUCAUAGCCCUUCAGUCGUAGCGAAAGUGUUAAGUGCUCCGCCUGGGGAGUAUGGUCGCAAGGCUG
rnacentral:rRNA from 1 species